rnacentral:rRNA from 1 species
AAUAUUGGACAAUGGGCGAAAGCCUGAUCCAGCAAUGCCGCGUGAGUGAUGAAGGCCUUAGGGUUGUAAAGCUCUUUUACCAGGGAAGAAAAGGCGCCUGAUAAUACCUGGCGCCGCUGACGGUACCUGCAGAAUAAGCAACGGCUAACUACGUGCUAGCAGCCGCGGUAAUACGUAGGGUGCAAGCGUUAAUCGGAAUUACUGGGCGUAAAGCGUGCGCAGGCGGUUCGGAAAGAAAGAUGUGAAAUCCCAGGGCUUAACCUUGGAACUGCAUUUUUAACUGCCGGGCUAGAGUAUGUCAGAGGGGGGUAGAAUUCCACGUGUAGCAGUGAAAUGCGUAGAGAUGUGGAGGAAUACCGAUGGCGAAGGCAGCCCCCUGGGAUAAUACUGACGCUCAUGCACGAAAGCGUGGGGAGCAAAC